UUCGGGCGCGGACUGAUCGUACACACAACUCUGCUCUGCAUUUCUUUUAAAAUUCUUUUACUCUCUUUGAAAAUACUUCUCAAAUCCUCAGUUUGAGUUCAAAUACGCCCGAAGGUGUACUCGAAUACCUCAAACCAAGGCUCUGAUACCAACUUGUAACACCGUGAAAUUUCAAAAUAAUUUUUCGCAAAAUAUAAAAACAUUUUUCAUUUAAUUUUCAUAAAACAUCAGGUUUAAAUCUUCAAUUCACAUCAUACAAAAUCCCAAGAUCAUAUCACAUAAAAAUCUCUUGCAUGUGUACAGAUCAAGCCGGCGCCUUCCCACGGUCAUCACUAGUACCUGAAACAAACAACACUAACACUGUAAGCACAAAGCUUAGUGAGUUCCCCAAAAUACCACAUAAACACAUAUUAGCCACUCGAGGCUAUAACUCUAUGGGUCCGUGCACCCAAACUCUGUGAACCCUCAGGUUCUAACUCUGGGAACCUUCCGGUUCCAUCUCUGUAAACAUGCACAACAUAAAUCACAUAGACAUCAUGCAGUACAACACAUAGCAUACACAUAACAUACACAUACUCUGACACAUAACUCUGAUUACCUACUCAAGGUAGUUGAUCAGUAGAUCGAACAAAAAGUACUUCUACGUUCCCUUCUUCGACAUAAUCCUUAAUAAAAUGAUAUCUAAGUGCAAUAUGCUUAGAUUUGGAGUGUUGCACUGGAUUGUGACUGUAACACCGUGAAUUUUCAAAAUAAUUUUUCGCAAAAUAUAAAAACAUUUUUCAUUUAAUUUUCAUAAAACAUCAUGUUUAAAUCUUCAAUUCACAUCAUAAAAAGUCCCAAGAUCAUAUCACAUAAAAAUCCCUUGUGUGUGUACAGAUCAAGCCGGUGCCUUCCUACGGUAAUCAAUAGUACCUGAAACAAACAACACUAACACUGUAAGCACAAAGCUUAGUGAGUUCCCCAAAAUACCACAUAAACACAUAUUAGCCACUCGAGGCUAUAACUCUAUGGGUCCGUUCACCCAAACUCUGUGAACCCUCAGGUUCUAACUCUAGGAACCUUCCGGUUCCAACUCUAUAAACAUGCACAACAUAAAUCACAUAGACAUCAUGCAGUACAACACAUAGCAUACACAUAACAUACACAUACUCUGACACAUAACUCUGAUUACCUACUCAAGGUAAAGUAUAGUGAGAAGACUCACCUCGUAUAUCUCGAUAACCCGCGAAUCCUGGAAAUCACUCGUGCUCGAUCCUCCGAGCUAUAAUCCUCCUAUAACAUCAUACAUCU
rnacentral:lncRNA from 1 species